ACAAAGACAAAAAUGCCGGAAAAACUCCACAAACCGCCACACACCGGAAACAAAGCUAGUUUCUCAAAAGGUUGAAGCUUGUUUGUGCUUUAUCGUUUUAGCGUUAUUGUCCAAGUUGCGGAGGAGGUAGUUCCGGAAGAAGAAACUAGUUGUUGAAUUAAAG